GACAGAGGGUGCAAACGUUGCUCGGAAUUACUGGGCGUAAAGCGCGUGUAGGCGGAUCGGAAAGUCGGGCGUGAAAGCCCCAGGCUCAACCUGGGAACUGCACCCGAAACUCCCGGUCUUGAGUGGUGGAGAGGGAAGUGGAAUUCCUGGUGUAGAGGUGAAAUUCGUAGAUAUCAGGAGGAACACCAGUGGCGAAGGCGGCUUCCUGGACACCAACUGACGCUGAGACGCGAAAGCGUGGGGAGCAAACAGG
rnacentral:rRNA from 1 species